rnacentral:miRNA from 1 species
UAUCACAGUGGAUUUGGUUUAU